AUCUGAUGUAAAACAAAGUUUGUUUGAUGGUUUCAUAGUAGUAAUAUGAUCAAGUAGUUACACUAAAUUUAAUAGCAUUAAUCUGAUCAAGUGAAUGAAAUCAUGUUGGUUCACUGAAUUUUAUCAACUAAAAUAAUGAUUAGAGUGGACGCAAUUAUAUUUAUCAUCAAAUUUUUUUUAAAUACUCAAUCGAAUAGUUGCUAUAAAUUUUUUAGUUUAAAUAAAUAUGUAAAAUAAUGAAAUGUUUUAAAACGAAAAGCAGGUAAUGUUUGUUUCAGUACAAAUUUAAAAUAUUUUUGACAACAGUGGGAAGAAACGUUAUAAACUAAAUCUAGAGACUGAUGAUCCUUUGUCUAAGCAUGCAUCUGUAAAACAAAAAAAUCUGGCCAACGGUGAAGAAGACAGGAACGUUGAUUGGUCGUUGGACACCGUGUCGUUUCAUCGUUGGCCAUCUAGAAUUUUUGCAUUACAAUUAAUCCACCAGCUUAAUAGCCUUCAUUUCAAACACCUGGUACGGCCACUGGCCUCUAGGACAAUGAGACAUCAUCUUAGUUCUCAUUGGGGAUAAAAACCAAAAGACCAAAAAGAAUAUCCAGGCAAAGUGACCUGCAUCUCUCGAAAGGACACAGCAUCCACACUCUCUAUCAUCGUUAUAAGAACAAGGGGUGCGAGCCUGAGAAUAAUUUUAGAAGAAUACUCAUCACUUUAGGAAUCAAUCAACAAUCACUCGGAUCAUUUCGUGAUGUAGAAAAUCGGUGGAUCGUGAUGGGGCUUUGGUUGAUGAUAAUAAUGAGACGUCUU